rnacentral:rRNA from 1 species
AUGGCCGACUGCAUCGCCAGCAAGCGCCGCUGCGCGGACGUCGCCGACGGCGCUGACCGGCUUGGUGACCUGCCGGACAGCCUCCUGCAAGUCAUAAUCUCCUUGCUCGGCUUCCGGCAGGCCGUGCAGACCGGCGUGCUGUCGCGGCGGUGGAAGAAUCUGUGGCGUGGCAUGCCCGUCGUCGACAUCGACGAGCGAGAGUUCGCCGGCGACGGCCAGACUUGGGACCGUUUCGAGGACUUUGUCGACCACGCAUUGACGUCGAUCCCGCCAGGGACGCAGCUCGACGCCUUUCGCCUGCACGUGGUUAGCUGCGACACCGCCACGUCUAGCAGGUGGAUCCGACGUGGCCUCCGCCACCUCCCGGCCGCCGUCAGCAUCCACGGUACCAACGCCGGCCACAGCCUGGUCUGCUGGAACCCGCACGUAUCAUCCCCGCCCCGAAACCCCUUCAGGUUCAGGUACGCCGCCGCCGACGGACUCUGGCAGCAGCGGGGCAUGUCGGCGUGCGCCGCCGGUUUCACCCGUCGCUUGACGACCCUGCGGCUGGUCGGCGCCGGUAUCAGUCGCGGCUUCUUCGAGGAGCUCGGCCGGAACUGCCCGGCCCUCGAGGAGCUCCACGCCGAGAGGUGCAUGAUGCACAUGCUCUCCCUCGCCUCGCCCGUGCUCAGGCGCCUCGCUGUCAUCAGCCCAGUUUCAGCACGUAUGGUCACCGUCGUUCCUGGGCUCGAGGCCCCCCGCCUCACCUCCCUCCGCCUCGACAUCAUGUAUGGCGGGGAGAUCACCUACGGAUUGGAAACCGGAGUCGGGCCGGCCCCACAGUAUCACUUGCCGGCUCUUACUGAGGCGUCACUCCGGCUCACGGACACGAGCGCCAACGUCCACCUGCCCGACCACCAAGCUUGGGACUGGGAGAAUCGGAAGCUCAUCGCCAUGUUUUUGGAUUCCAUGUGUGGCUUCCUUGCCCGCCUUACGAAUAUUGUAAGCCUACAUCUACACGGCUUCAUCGCCAUGGCAUUGCUUCAGAAGGAGUCCCAAGAAUUCCCAGUGUUGAAUAACUUGAGAAAUUUGCACCUAGAAGAAUGUGAUGUUGGAGUGAACUACCAGGUGUUGACAAGCAUCCUCAGAAACACACCUAACUUGGAAAAGCUUGCAUUGCAAUGGUGCACGUUUGAAGCUCCUCCAAUCACGAAUAGGAGGAAGGAGAUGGCAUCUUCAAAACUCCAUGGAUCAACUACACCGGCUGUUUUUUGGUGCAAGAAGCUGAAAUCGAUGGAUAUCAAAUGCAGAAAGGAAGAUGAGACACACAUGGCUAGGGUUUUAUCAGAGAUCUCUAAGGGGAUGGCUCCAGAGCAGUGGGAGCGAGUCAAGACAUCAGAUACAAUUGUAUCAGUAGAAUAA